GAUGAAGAACGUAGCAAAAUGCGAUAAGUAAUGUGAAUUGCAGAAUUCAGUGAAUCAUCGAAUCUUUGAACGCACAUUGCGCCCCCUGGCAUUCCGGGGGGCAUGCCUAUUCGAGCGUCAUUACAACCCUCAAGCUCUGCUUGGUAUUGGGCUCUGCUGGGACCGGCAGGCCUUAAAAUCAGUGGCGGCGCCACUCGGCUUCAAGCGUAGUAAUUCUUCUCGCUUCGGAGACCCGGGUGCGUGCUAGCCAGCAACCCCCAACUUUCUUAGGUUGACCUCGGAUCAGGUAGGGAUACCCGCUGAACUUAAGCAUAUCAAUAAGCGGAGGA
rnacentral:misc_RNA from 1 species